UGUUUCAGAACUCUCAGUCAUAAUCCUCUGACAACUGUUGAAGAUUCAUAUCUUUUUAAAUUGCCAGCAUUAAAAUAUCUAGACAUGGGAACAACUCAAGUAUCACUUUCGACAAUUGAGAAUAUCCUCCUGAUGACUCUUGAAUUGGAAAAACUGAUCUUACCUAGCCAUUUGGCCUGCUGCCUCUGCCAGUUUAAAAAUAAUAUUGAAGUUGUCUGCAAGACAGUGAAGCUGCAAUGUGACAGUGCAUGUCGGACAAACAAUACACGUUGCCGUGAGUCUGAAUUGCCUGAUGAGAAAUGUUUUAACUUUUGUUUUGUUAUUCAACUUUUAACUGGUGAUCAUAGAUUUUUCAAACUAAUGAUGAAACUGCUUUAUUUUUAUUUAUUUGUCUAGAAUUCAACUCCCUAAAUUUCUGGAUUGCUCUCUUGCUCAAAGUGAGGUUUUCAGCUAUAAUUUAAUAAUAUAGCUAUUCCA